CGCCAGCAGCCGCGGUAAGACGAACCGACCGAACGUUAUUCGGAAUUACUGGGCUUAAAGAGUUCGUAGGUGGUUAAAAAAGUUGGUGGUGAAAUCCCAGAGCUUAACUCUGGAACUGCCAUCAAAACUUUUUAGCUAGAGUAUGAUAGAGGAAAGCAGAAUUUCUAGUGUAGAGGUGAAAUUCGUAGAUAUUAGAAAGAAUACCGGUUGCGAAGGCAGCUUUCUGGAUCAUUACUGACACUGAGGAACGAAAGCAUGGGUAGCGAAGAGGAUUAGAUA
rnacentral:rRNA from 1 species